rnacentral:lncRNA from 1 species
CAGAAGAUAAUAUCCCCACCACAGAAAUAGAUAGACUUAGAGAGAAGUCAAGACUCAUACUAUUCAGGACAACGUUUAAUAGAUGGUCUUAGUAGGUAGAAUUAAUCAGCGGGGUCAGCAAGACUAAUAAGCCACUGGAUAUCAACCCCUUCAGUAUUCUGAUCCCCUGGAAGGAUAACUUACUGGCGCUGAAUACAAAGUAGAACUACCAUGCAUGUAAAAGCACAAACUAAUCUCACAUACUCCGUCUGAUUCAGAAACACAAAAAUAUGGCUAAUACUACACCAUCAUCAUCAUAGUUCUGUAGAGAAAUAUAUAGGACAAUUCCACAGCAGUAAGCUUGUAAACUUGUAGUUCAAACCUAGAGAGAGUUCAGUUGUCUUCAGUCUGCACUUUGAAUAUCAAGAUUUCUGCAAUAAUUCCAUCCCUUCAAGUCCACACCUAAAAGGCCUUCAAAAAGAAAUCAUGGAUGUCAGUAUGCUAUUGCUAACGAUGAUUUAAAAAAACAUAUGAAGAUAGGAGCGUUACCGUAGCAAGUCCCUCUUAGACAUGGAAUUCAAGGGUACUACAAAAGAUCGUCAUGUAUGUAUUGGAAGUAAAUUUCUUCCGAGUGAAACCUUUUUUAUGGUAAAGAUCUGAGGGAAACGUUAUUAUAACACAAAUGUGACACUUCUUUCCAUAUCUACACUUACUGUGUUCCAAAUGGAAGAAUAAGUACAACUGAUUUCAUUGCCAAAGAAUUCAUACUCUGCCCACUUGAACUGUUGAUCUUAAAACUGCAUCCACCAAGUUAUAAUGUAGAUUUCAUACUCUCAUUCCACUACCCUAACCCAUCCUGCAAGUCUACCACCACAACCAAAAUAGGUCCAAUUGUUAAGCUUCAGAAUUCAAAUUAUCAAUCAGCAGUUACAUCAACACCUUCAACCUAAGCAAAGCCAACGAUUACGUAUUAGAACAACUCGAGGUAACAAACAAACGCUACUCUUAAUUCUUAACAAAUGUUGUGCUGAUUUCUUAUUAGUUAUGGAAUUUCAGACACCUUCAUCUUCAGCAGUAUUUUUUUUGAACUUGGUUCUUAAUGACAUAUGUCCAAGUAGGGCCAGAAGUAAAAACAGAGAUGACCUUUAAGUAGGUUACCAGAGGUCCAAGGGGAUUGUGAUGUGCUGGAUAAAAAAUGAAAUAAAUUCAACCAAGACAUUGGCUUCCUGGUGUAUUCUUCUUCAUCUUUAUCAUCACCCUGGAAC